rnacentral:rRNA from 1 species
GGGCAAGUGGCGGCGGCUAUAAUGCAAGUCGACGAACUCUGGUAUUGAUUGGUGCUUGCAUCAUGAUUUACAUUUGAGUGAGUGGCGAACUGGUGAGUAACACGUGGGAAACCUGCCCAGAAGCGGGGGAUAACACCUGGAAACAGAUGCUAAUACCGCAUAACAACUUGGACCGCAUGGUCCGAGUUUGAAAGAUGGCUUCGGCUAUCACUUUUGGAUGGUCCCGCGGCGUAUUAGCUAGAUGGUGGGGUAACGGCUCACCAUGGCAAUGAUACGUAGCCGACCUGAGAGGGUAAUCGGCCACAUUGGGACUGAGACACGGCCCAAACUCCUACGGGAGGCAGCAGUAGGGAAUCUUCCACAAUGGACGAAAGUCUGAUGGAGCAACGCCGCGUGAGUGAAGAAGGGUUUCGGCUCGUAAAACUCUGUUGUUAAAGAAGAACAUAUCUGAGAGUAACUGUUCAGGUAUUGACGGUAUUUAACCAGAAAGCCACGGCUAACUACGUGCCAGCAGCCGCGGUAAUACGUAGGUGGCAAGCGUUGUCCGGAUUUAUUGGGCGUAAAGCGAGCGCAGGCGGUUUUUUAAGUCUGAUGUGAAAGCCUUCGGCUCAACCGAAGAAGUGCAUCGGAAACUGGGAAACUUGAGUGCAGAAGAGGACAGUGGAACUCCAUGUGUAGCGGUGAAAUGCGUAGAUAUAUGGAAGAACACCAGUGGCGAAGGCGGCUGUCUGGUCUGUAACUGACGCUGAGGCUCGAAAGUAUGGGUAGCAAACAGGAUUAGAUACCCUGGUAGUCCAUACCGUAAACGAUGAAUGCUAAGUGUUGGAGGGUUUCCGCCCUUCAGUGCUGCAGCUAACGCAUUAAGCAUUCCGCCUGGGGAGUACGGGCCGCAAGGCUGAAACUCAAAGGAAUUGACGGGGGCCCGCACAAGCGGUGGAGCAUGUGGUUUAAUUCGAAGCUACGCGAAGAACCUUACCAGGUCUUGACAUACUAUGCAAAUCUAGAGAUUAGACGUUCCCUUCGGGACAUGGAUACAGGUGGUGCAUGCUGUCGUCAGCUCGUGUCGUGAGAUGUUGGGUU